CCUACGGGAGGCUGCAGUAGGGAAUCUUCCACAAUGGGCGAAAGCCUGAUGGAGCAACGCCGCGUGGGUGAAGAAGGUCUUCGGAUCGUAAAACCCUGUUGUUAGAGAAGAAAGUGCGUGAGAGUAACUGUUCACGUGUCGACGGUAUCUAACCAGAAAGCCACGGCUAACUACGUGCCAGCAGCCGCGGUAAUACGUAGGUGGCAAGCGUUAUCCGGAUUUAUUGGGCGUAAAGGGAACGCAGGCGGUCUUUUAAGUCUGAUGUGAAAGCCUUCGGCUUAACCGGAGUAGUGCAUUGGAAACUGGGAGACUUGAGUGCAGAAGAGUAGAGUGGAACUCCAUGUGUAGCGGUGAAAUGCGUAGAUAUAUGGAAGAACACCAGUGGCGAACGCGGCUCUCUGGUCUGUACCUGACGCUGAGGUUCGAAAGCGUGGGUAGCAAACAGGAUUAGAUACCCGUGUAGUC
rnacentral:rRNA from 1 species